GACACCCACUUAACUUCGGAGUUAGUGGGACACCUUUCUUUUUGCUUAGUACGCUUUUCUGCUAUUCCUGCCGCAUAACUCUCUCUUCCCCAGGCUUUUCCCAUCUCCAUCCUAUUCUCUCGCAGGCAGGUUUUUCUUCCGCCUCUCUGGGGAUUUUCGCGUUGGUUCUCCCUGCCCCCAGGAGUGAGGCGGGUAACGCCCACGCCUACCUCCGGUGCUGGGGGAAAAGAUUACUUCCCAGAUGCAGUAUUUACAUCUCCUCCGCCCUACUCUUCCAACCCUGCCUGAAAUAAGUGUGGUUCUCCUGUCUGUCAGACUAUGAAGAGUUCUCAAAUAUGUCUUUCCCAGCGAGGGAGAGGAGAGUGAGUAUCCAGGAACUUUAAUGCGAUAGGACAUCAAUAUGAGUGUUUAUAGGGAAAGCCAGUGAUCCUAUUGUUAGACGCGAAAUCAAGACAUAUGAUCUGAUUUUUUGUUUUACUUUUUGUUUUUGAGGUAUAACAUUCAGUAAAGCGCACAAAUCAAAAGUG
rnacentral:lncRNA from 10 species